UGAAACUAUUUCCACAGAAUCAGGUACUGAGAACCACGUGGCAGAGAGGGCCUUGGGAGAAACGGUGGUGAAACAGAUCACAGCACAAAAACCUAUACAGAUUGAAGAGUGCGUAACAGCUGAGGAAACCAAUCAACAGACCAGAGAAUCACACCUCCAGGAGCAAACAGUUGAGGAGGCCCCUGGACACAGAGAGGACGGCAGCGCUGAGGAAAGAAAACAACAGGCCCGAGAAUCACACCUCCAGGAGCAAACAGCGGCCCAAACAAUUCUCCAGAAGCCAGGGGACACCGAAAGACGGCCCUUCAAGGUCCCAGCCCAUUUGGAAGCUCUGAAAAUCUUCAAUCGUGAGUUACAUUUGGCUGAACAACGUCUCGCGGUGUUGAAGGAGUCUGAGUCUCAUCUGUUUGAACAGUGUCUCGCAGUGCUGAAGGAGUCUGAGUAUCGUUUGUCAGAACAACGGCUUAAGGUGUUUCAGACAAUCUUUGAGAAAUAUUAGAAAUGGCACAGAGGCAACAACCAGAGCAGUUAGGCAGGGCACACAGCACAGAGAACAUUAACUCACAAAUUUUACAUGCAAUUCAAGCUAUAACUCAAAACAACAGCCCACAAGCUGCUGAAAACAUUCCAAAUGUUUUUAUAAACCCAAAUCUGCUACAGCUUGUUAACAAUAUUAACCAUGACACUAACGACAUGCAUGAAAUGGCUGGUGAUUACUUUGAUCGGUUGAACGAGGCUUUGGCAAACCUUACCGCCGGUGAUGGUGCACUAACCCCUGCAGCAGACUCUCUUGGUUUUCUGAACGAUGCUUUAGAGCGGCUAAACCAGGAAGGGGGGAAUCUUAAUGAAUCACCACUAACGCCUACCUCUGAUAACCCACAAGGUUCUGACGAUGUGCAUGCUGCCGCUGCUAAUAGUAAUGAUGAUGA